rnacentral:piRNA from 2 species
UCCUGCUCUUGGUUCAGGUGACUCAAGCCC